rnacentral:rRNA from 1 species
GCGUGAUAGGGUACUUUUUGUAGAACGGUCCGGCGAGCGAUUGUAUGCAGCAAGGUUAAGGACUUAAGGUCUGGAGCCGAAGCGAAAGCGAGUUUGAAAAGGGCGUUAAGUUGCAUAUAAUGGGCCCGAAACCGGGUGACCUACCCAUGGUCAGGUUGAAGUGGAAGUAAAAUUCCAUGGAGGACCGAACCGACCUCCGUUGAAAAGGCGGCGGAUGAACUGUGGGUAGCGGAGAAAUUCCAAUCGAACCCGGAGAUAGCUGGUUCUCCCCGAAAUAGUUUUAGGACUAGCCUCAAGUUAGAUACCUGGAGGUAAAGCACUGAAUAGCCUAGCGGCCGAGAGGUUAGCGAAGCUUAUCAAACUCAGAAUGCCAGAGUAUUGAUGCUUGGGAGUCAGACAGUGUCAGAUAAAUGUCAUUGUCAAAAGGGAAACAGCCCAGAUCUACAGCUAAGGUCCCAAAGUCAGGUUAAGUGGAAAACGAUGUGAAGAUACGCAGACAACCAGGAUGUUGGCUCAGAAGCAGCCACUCAUUCAAAGAGUGCGUAAUAGCUCACUGGUCGAGCGUCUUUGCGCGGAGAAUUUAACGGGGCUAAACCUGACACCGAAGCUUAGGCAACAUAGUAAUAUGUUGGGUAGGGGAGCGUUGUAUACGCGGAGAAACAGUAGCGUAAGCGGCUGUGGAGUGUAUAGAAGUGAGAAUGCCGGAAUGAGUAGCGCGAAUGCAGUGAGAAUCUGCAUGGCCGAAAGCCUCAGGUUUUUGGAGGAAGGUUCGUCCGCUCCAAGUUAGUCGGGAGCUAAGGUGAGGCCGGAAGGCGUAGCCGAUGCACAGACGGUAGAGAUUCCGUCACCACCAAAAGAGUUAAGCACAGGGACACAUUUGAAGUCUCAGAGCCGGGUGUUGGUUCCGGUAGAGAUCGAGGGAAAUUAGUACCGAAGUCUGAGAUGGAAGAUGGCGAGAAAAGCUGUGUGUAUUUCUGAGGUGCCCGUACCGCAAACCGACACAGGUAGGUAGGAAGAAGAUUCUAAGGCCAACGGGAGAAGGGUUGUUAAGGAACUCGGCAAAUUGACCCCGUAACUUCGGGAGAAGGGGUGCUCCAGAGAUGGAGCCGCAGAGAAUCGGCCCAAGCAACUGUUUACCAAAAACACAGGUUUGUGCUAAAUCGAAAGAUGACGUAUACGAGCUGACGCCUGCCCGGUGCUGGAAGGUUAAGAGGAGAUGUGCAAGCAUUGAAUCGAAGCCCCAGUGAACGGCGGCCGUAACUAUAACGGUCCUAAGGUAGCGAAAUUCCUUGUCAGGUAAGUUCUGACCCGCAUGAAAGGCGUAAUGAUUUGGGCACUGUCUCAACAGCCCGCCCGGCGAAAUUGUAGUACCGGUGAAGAUGCCGGUUACCCGCGACAAGACGGAAAGACCCCAUGGAGCUUUACUGUAGCCUAAUAUUGGGUUUCGAUGUUGCAUGCACAGGAUAGAUGGGACACAGGGAAACAGGAGCUUUGGCUUCUGCGGAGUGGCCGUUGGGAUACCAUCCUUGCGAUAUUGGAAUUCUAACCUGCGGCUCUGAAUCGAGUCGGGGGACAUUGUUAGGUGGGCAGUUUGACUGGGGCGGUCGCCUCCUAAAAAGUAACGGAGGCGUUCAAAGGUUCGCUCAGCUUGAACGGAAAUCAAGCAAAAGAGUGCAAACGCAGAAGCGAGCCUAACUGCGAGACUGACGGGUCGAGCAGUAACGAAAGUUGGAGUUAGUGAUCCGGUGGUAUGUGAGUGGAAAUGCCAUCGCUCAACGGAUAAAAG